UUGUUUCAAAGUAGAUUUGUUUAAGACUACCAAGAAGGUUAAUGAAGUGAGAAGAAGGCAUUGGUCUGAAGCCAAAAAAGAAAGGAAAUUCAUGGCUACUCCACCCAUGCUCUACCAAGGUUUUUAAGCACACAGCUUUAACCUACUACAGUAGCUAUGUUGGUCUAUUGUAUUUGAAACAAUGUGUAUGCAGGUUGCUUAGGAUUCAAACCUUCUCAAACAGCCUAAUUCAUACUUUUAUAUUAUAAUGCACAGUCACUCGUUUUGAGCCAUGGGGGACAAUUACCUUCCAUAUUUUCCUCUCUAAGAUAAUGAUACUAAAACCCACACAUGAUAACAGAUUGGACUAAUUCUUAACUGUCUAUUUUAUGGUCACAUAAUUAUCUUGACGUGAACCCCUCUAUGGCUGUUCUUUUUUUCAUGCAGCCAACAAACAGAAGUAAAUCUACUAUUGUUUACUGAGAUUAAGCCUUGGGGUUUUGACUAAAAGGGAGGUGCUAGUUAUGCAUUUCCUGUCUACGUCUUAAAUGGCACCCUAUUCCCUAUUGGACCUGAUCAAAGGUAGUGCACUAAAUAAGGAGUUGGGUACCAUUUGGGACACAUCACUGUCUUUCUCUUUAAUUGCUUUUGAGUGUCUCGUUUUAGCCAGGAAGUAAUUUUCUUGUUUUCUCAUUUAGUUGUAAUGGUUCUAUCAGAAACACACCUAUAUAAAGAUCAAUGUUCACUCAGGAAGUCAUUUUCUUGUUUUCUAAUUUAGUUGUAAUGGUUCUAUCAGAAACACAAACCCCAUAAAGGUCCAUGUUCACUUACAGUUCUAAAAAAGAAUUACAUUCUUUUUUUUGUAGUUUUAAAUGAGGAUGUUUAAAUUAUCACUUCAGCUGUUGAACAUGUUUUUGGGGGUGAAAAAAAAUUAAAUAACUGUUUAAUCUUGUAUUUUCUUUCUUUGUCAUUUCUAGAACAAUGUCCAAUGUUGGUUUCUCAAGACAUACCAGCCAGGAAAGUGGAACAUUUCCGACGCUAAGCUGAAGCCACAGGAACCUCAACCUAGUGAUGCCGUGAUCAGACACUCCUGCACACCAAAGACAAUUGGCUAUCUGGCCAGGGUUGGCCUCUUCUCAGGGGAGGUGGAGCCCUAUGGGACGACCCGAGACAAAGUUUGUCUGGAGGUUAUGGACCGCCUCAAGGCACAGCCUGAUGGGAAAUACGUGGUGGUCACGUGGGGACACCUUUAUUUGUUCACACCUGUCCGUGUUCAGAUAUAGCCCAGGGAACUCGUCCAUCCUGGCUGAUCAGAUCGCCUUGAACCUGGUGUGCCCAGAGCGGUGAGUGAAAGAGGAAUGGCUUUGUUGUUUCUGGUUAGAAAGUCAAGAAAAAUGAUUUUAGUCCAGGGUUUUGUUUAUGUUCAAUACAUCCAACUGGAUGAAUGCUUAUAAAUGUUACUUAUGCUUAUAAAUAUCUAAUUAUUCUGUUGUUUGUGUCUCACCUCUUCCCCCUACACCCCCUUACCAAUUUUAUCACAUCAGCACACACACUCAAUACCAUGCUUUUCACACAUUCACACACACAUCAAUAAACAUCACAUACACACACACACACACAUACGCAUACACUCUUCCCCCAGUCACCGAGGCGGAAGGAGGGCUCCUAUCCCUCAUUCCACCUUCAUUAACUAUCUCUCCUUCCACCUUCAUUAUCUAUCCCUCAUUCCACCUUCAUUAACUAUCCCUCCUUCUACCUUCAUGAACUAUUCCUCCUUCCACUCUCAUUAACUAUCCCUCCUUCCACCUUCAUUAACUAUGGCUCCUUCCACCUUCAUUAACUAUCCCUCCUUCCACCUUCAUUAACUAUCCCUCCUUCCACCUUCAUUAACUAUCCCUCCUUCCACCUUCAUUAACUAUGGCUCCUUCCACUCUCAUUAACUAUCCCUCCUUCCACCUUCAUUAACUAUCCCUCCUUCCACCUUCAUUAACUAUGGCUCCUUCCACUCUCAUUAACUAUCCUGCCGUCCACCUUCAGUAACUCUCUUCUGACAAUCUAAGAUGAUCAAGCAAGUGGAUUCUGGAAUACAGUAUGGUAAUGUACCAAAACAGUAUGGUAGUGUACCAAUACAGUAUGGUAAUGUACCAAUACAGUAUGGUAGUGUACCAAUACAGUAUGGUAGUGUACCAAUACAGUAUGGUAGUGUACCAAUACAGUAUGGUAAUGUCCCAAUACAGUAUGGUAGUGUACCAAUACAGUAUGGUAGUGUACCAAUACAGUAUGGUAGUGUACCAAUACAGUAUGGUAGUGUACCAAUACAGUAUGGUAAUGUACCAAUACAGUAUGGUAAUGUCCCAAUACAGUAUGGUAAUGUCCCAAAUGGAACGCUAUUCUGUAUUUAGUGCACUAAAUAGGGCUCUGGUAAAACAUAGUGAACUAUAUAUUUUGGGAUGCAGUUUAUUACCUCUCCAGUCCAAUCAUAUUCUCAUCUCUCACUGUCUGAAAGGAUGCUAUUUUAAUCUCAAGUUUCUAACUCUGGGGAUUUCAUUAGGUUAUUAACUGACCGAUCGACCUCAUCCACCAUCAUGCACGACCUCCAAGCUAAAGACUAGAAGUUACCCCUAUCCACUGGUACGGACUCAGAUACGUUUUCAUUCUCAUAUGGGUAAAGUUAGGUUUGCUCUUUUUCCAUAGGAAAUUGUUAAAGUCAGAAGCUGACUUUACCAUACAUAUGAUGAUAUCGUCAAGUCUAUACCUUCUUCACACAGCCUCACAGAUCACACAUCUCCAUUUUGCGCCACGACACAGAGGUGUCCAAUUUUUUAACGUGUUAAAUGUGCACCAAUGGCUGGCGUCAACGUCUCUAGCAUCAACACACACACACACGCACUCACGCAC